rnacentral:rRNA from 2 species
UACGUAGGGUGCAAGCGUUAAUCGGAAUUACUGGGCGUAAAGCGUGCGCAGGCGGUUUUGUAAGUCUGUCGUGAAAUCCCCGGGCUCAACCUGGGAAUUGCGAUGGAGACUGCAAGGCUAGAAUCUGGCAGAGGGGGGUAGAAUUCCACGUGUAGCAGUGAAAUGCGUAGAGAUGUGGAGGAACACCGAUGGCGAAGGCAGCCCCCUGGGUCAAGAUUGACGCUCAUGCACGAAAGCGUGGGGAGCAAACAG